AGAGUUUGAUCAUGGCUCAGAUUGAACGCUGGCGGCAGGCCUAACACAUGCAAGUCGAACGGUAACAGGAAGCAGCUUGCUGCUUCGCUGACGAGUGGCGGACGGGUGAGUAAUGUCUGGGAAACUGCCUGAUGGAGGGGGAUAACUACUGGAAACGGUAGCUAAUACCGCAUAACGUCGCAAGACCAAAGAGGGGGACCUUCGGGCCUCUUGCCAUCGGAUGUGCCCAGAUGGGAUUAGCUAGUAGGUGGGGUAACGGCUCACCUAGGCGACGAUCCCUAGCUGGUCUGAGAGGAUGACCAGCCACACUGGAACUGAGACACGGUCCAGACUCCUACGGGAGGCAGCAGUGGGGAAUAUUGCACAAUGGGCGCAAGCCUGAUGCAGCCAUGCCGCGUGUAUGAAGAAGGCCUUCGGGUUGUAAAGUACUNNNNNNNNNACCGCCUGGGGAGUACGGCCGCAAGGUUAAAACUCAAAUGAAUUGACGGGGGCCCGCACAAGCGGUGGAGCAUGUGGUUUAAUUCGAUGCAACGCGAAGAACCUUACCUGGUCUUGACAUCCACAGAACUUUCCAGAGAUGGAUUGGUGCCUUCGGGAACUGUGAGACAGGUGCUGCAUGGCUGUCGUCAGCUCGUGUUGUGAAAUGUUGGGUUAAGUCCCGCAACGAGCGCAACCCUUUUCCUUUGUUGCCAGCGGUCCGGCCGGGAACUCAAAGGAGACUGCCAGUGAUAAACUGGAGGAAGGUGGGGAUGACGUCAAGUCAUCAUGGCCCUUACGACCAGGGCUACACACGUGCUACAAUACCGCCUGGGGAGUACGGCCGCAAGGUUAAAACUCAAAUGAAUUGACGGGGGCCCGCACAAGCGGUGGAGCAUGUGGUUUAAUUCGAUGCAACGCGAAGAACCUUACCUGGUCUUGACAUCCACGGAAGUUUUCAGAGAUGAGAAUGUGCCUUCGGGAACCGUGAGACAGGUGCUGCAUGGCUGUCGUCAGCUCGUGUUGUGAAAUGUUGGGUUAAGUCCCGCAACGAGCGCAACCCUUAUCCUUUGUUGCCAGCGGUCCGGCCGGGAACUCAAAGGAGACUGCCAGUGAUAAACUGGAGGAAGGUGGGGAUGACGUCAAGUCAUCAUGGCCCUUACGACCAGGGCUACACACGUGCUACAAUNUCCUUUGUUGCCAGCGGUCCGGCCGGGAACUCAAAGGAGACUGCCAGUGAUAAACUGGAGGAAGGUGGGGAUGACGUCAAGUCAUCAUGGCCCUUACGACCAGGGCUACACACGUGCUACAAUGGCGCAUACAAAGAGAAGCGACCUCGCGAGAGCAAGCGGACCUCAUAAAGUGCGUCGUAGUCCGGAUUGGAGUCUGCAACUCGACUCCAUGAAGUCGGAAUCGCUAGUAAUCGUGGAUCAGAAUGCCACGGUGAAUACGUUCCCGGGCCUUGUACACACCGCCCGUCACACCAUGGGAGUGGGUUGCAAAAGAAGUAGGUAGCUUAACCUUCGGGAGGGCGCUUACCACUUUGUGAUUCAUGACUGGGGUGAAGUCGUAACAAGGUAACCGUAGGGGAACCUGCGGUUG
rnacentral:rRNA from 1 species